CGGACCCGCGGCCCCGCGCCCCUCGCGCGGCCUGAGGGCUGGGCCGGGGCCGGGGGGUGCCGCGGUGCCGUCGCCCCGCCGGUCGGCGGUGAUGUGUCCAUCCCUGCGCCCGGAGCGCCACGCUCCCAAAGCCGCUUCCACCUAGAUCCAAGCCCGCCCGCUGCCAUGGAAACGGGCAGCCCGGAGGAGCGGGACGGAGGGGACCAGAGGCGGCAGGAGGGCGGGGACGCCCCUCCCGACAGCGCCAACGGCUCCGUGGUGGCAGCGGAGCCGCAGCAACCGCCCCCCGGCAAGCUGAGGAAAACGGCCUUCAAGCUGUUCGGGGGCAAGCGCAGCAUCUGCACCCUGCCCAGCUUCUUUGGCGGCCGCGGCAAGAAGGGGCUCAGCAAGUGCAAGACCCACGACGGGCUGAGCAGCGCUGCCUGUGACAAGGGCGGUGGGACACGGCCGGACAGCCCCUCGGAGGGCAGCAGAGAUGGGCAGCCUGGCCCCCUGCCCGGCUCCUGCAGUGCCCAGCUGGCCAUGGACACCGGUGCCAGGGGGGAUUUGGGCCAGCAGGACGGCUCUCCCCCGGGGAGUAUCGAGGGCUGUGACAAAAAGCCCUCUUUCCCCAGACCCAAAAAAGGGCUGAAAGGAUUUUUUAACAGCAUCCGGCGCCACCGGAAGAGCAAGGCUGCCGAGAGUGAAAAGGCAGAGCUCCCUGAGUGGAACGGGGACACGGAGGAGGCUGGCAAUGCUCCUGGAAUGGGAGUGGAGAUCCAAGGGGCUGUGGAGGACGGGGGAGCAGGGCCGGUCCCUGAGACCAUGGCUGGCCCAGGGGACGCAGGGGGUGACUCCAGCUGUGGUGAGGCCACUGAGCCCAUGGGCCCCACAGCUGAUGGAGGCACCUCGGAGGGUGACACAAUGGCUGUGCCAGGGAAUGGGGAUGUUCCAGAUACAAAAUCAGAGGCUGAGGCUGCUGCCUGCGCUGAGUUUGACCGUGAGAGUUUGCUGCUGGCCUUCCACCCUGACUUCAUGGACAGUGAGCCUCCCUGCCUGCACUCCGGGGACCUGCUGAGCCUCAUGCUAGGGGACGUCACCUCCCUGAAGAGCUUCGACUCCCUGACUGGGUGCGGGGACGACAUCGCCGAGCCCGAUAUCGCCGAGAGCAGCAUCUCAGUGGAGCGCAGCCGUGACACCGCCAAACGCAGCUCCUGCCUCGUCACCUACCAGGGCGGCGGCGAGGAGAUGGCCAUCCCUGAGGAGGCUGACGAGUACCUGCACCAGGUGUGGGACAGCGGCGUGCCGGGGGACAGGAGCUACGGGGCCCAGGUGUCCAGCAGCAGCCUGGAGACACACGCCUCUCACGAGGCCGAUGCCCACCCAUACAUGGGGGAUGCCAUGGAUGGUGUUGAACUCCUGACGCCCCAGAGUGACCAGCAGGAGUCUGCCCCAAACAGUGAUGAGGGGUAUUAUGACUCCACCACGCCAGGGCCGGAGGAUGAGGCUGGAGAGGAGCUCAAGAAGGACCGACUGCCCCGGGACAGCUACAGCGGCGAUGCACUUUAUGAGUUUGACACCCUGAUGAGCCCCUCUCAUGGGGAGGAAUCCCUGUUCGAGGGCCAAGUCCCACGCCAGGGCAUCUUCAGCUACUUCAUGGACUUCUGCCUCCCUGCGGAGAAGAGCCUGAUCCAGCAGAUGAUGGAUCAGAAAAGAGGGCUGAUGGAAACUGAAGAAGAGGGGCUUGCAGCCAUUCAGAAAGAGCUGCUGUACUGGGAGCUGCAGAGGGAGCCGGUCCUGAAACACCUGGAUGUCUCCAGCAAGAAGUGUCCUCGGGAAAAGCAGUGCAUUGAAUGUAAAACCAGAGCAGCCAGCUCCAUUGGCAAGAGUCAGAGUGGCCUUGGGAGUGAGCAGGUGGCCUCGCACACCCCAAGCCGGGCUGUCAAUGGCGGGGUUGCAGAGGCUAGGGCUGAAAAUCCAGAGUGGAGGGAUUUUCCAGGGACUCUGUGUCUGGAAAACGGUUACAACAGCCAAAAAGCCCCCGGAAGUUGCCUUAUUCAGCUCACAAAGAACAACCCGGGGUUCGAUGCAGACCUGGACUGUGGGAUGUUCGGGGACUCCAUUCACAGCAGUGGGGCCCCAGCCAAGGCAGGGAUGUUCCCUGGGUUCAGGCUGCCGGAGCAGGAGCACGGUGGCGGAGCAGAGCCCACCCCUGGUGAGCCCCAGGUGGGCAGCGAGCCCGAGCAUGCCGUGAGCUUCUCUCAGGCUCUGGUGGAGUUCGCCAGCAGCGGGACCCUCUUCUCCAGCCUCUCUGAGAGCCUGGGGAGCUCGGCCUCCAGCUCCUCCUUCACCCAGAACCUCCCUGCCCUCCCUACCAUGGUCACCUUUGAUGUGGUGGACGUGGAGCAGGAUGGGGAAGGGGAGUGUGAGCAGCACCCGGAGCUGACCGUGGGCGAGGACAUCGCCGAGGCCUUUGAUGAUGGCUAUGGACAGAAAGAGUCGUUGGCUGAAUGUGACGAGAGAAUGUCCCUGGGCUUCUCCCCGGGCUCCUUCCAGAGCUGCAACUGGGGGGUGGCCAGCCUGCCCCGCCACCUGCGCCUGCACGGGCUGAGCCCCUCCAUGCCCGCGCCGCUCUCUGUGGACCGGAGGAGCCGCUCGCUGGACACGGAGAGCCUGGAGUUUGAGCUGGCCGAGCCACAGGGGGCCCGCAGCGGCCCCCAGCCCUGCCGGCUCUGGGCCAGGCAUGAAACUGGCAGGAAGGACUCUGCUGGAGCCAGGAGGAGCAGGAGCAAGGAGGAGGUGAGGUGGAAUUUUCCAUGGGAGAAGGCAACAGAGACCCUUUGGAACAGGCUGGGAAUAACCCCCCUCAUCCCACAGGAAAAGCCUCCAGCAGCUCCCAAAGCUCUGGUGCAGAGGGUGUGGCUGCUCCUUUGGGGUUAAAUAAGGAUGCCUUUGGAGCCAGCAGCAUGGCCAGCCCUGAGCAGCCUCACCUGGACCACAUCCACAGAGCCAGGAGCACAUUUCAGCCCAGCCCGGCUCUCCCUGGGCUCCAGAGCCCCUGGAUGAUUGAUUCCCAGCCCGGUGUGAAGCUGCCUCAUCCUCACUGGUGUACCCUGCUUGGCCUGGGCCACCUUCCUUGUCCUGCUCAGGAGGAGCUGCCAGGACUCCAGGAAACCCUUCCAAGGUCUGGCUGGGAGUGGUCGUGCUGCCGCUGUGGUGUUUGAGAGUUUGCUCAGGGGAGAGCCAGGGCUGGAAGCUGCGGGGCAGGAACCUCCCCAAACACGAGACAAGAUCCUCCUCAGCGCUUUCCUGGGUGGAGCAAAGCCGAAGGAUGGAGCUGGAGCCAAGGACACGCUCUGGGAUGGAAGGAGACCCCUGCGGUGGGUGCACCACACGAAGAAACCUCCACAGAUGGAGCAGCACAUCAGUCCUGCAAAGCCAGGCAAGAGAAACGGGGACACCAAGAAACACAUCCUGCAAAUUCUCUGCUGAGUUAUGGAAAACCAGCCAGGAACGGCAGCCAGGAAGGAUCUCCUGGAGGCAGAGCAGCUCCAGGGAUGUGCCCCACGCUCAGCUCUCACUUUGGGGGGCUCACCCUUUCCUCCAGGUUUCCCUCCCUGAGUUGACUUCCUGCCGUGGUUUGCCACCGCCGGGCUCUGGCCGUGUGGGUGAUGCUGAGGCAGCUCCUGUUGGUCCAGGAAUGUACUCCCAGGCUCCUUCCCCUCCCUAAAAAUUACCCCUGCAGAGAAGGGAUAAGCAAAGCCCAGGGCAAGGACAGGAGUCACGAGUGGAUUAACACGGGGGGGGGGGAUGCAGGAGCACAAUGAGCCCUCAUUACAGCACCCAUUAAUGAGCAGCUUUGGUAAUGAGCUGAGCUUUUCUCUGCCCCAUCCUGCAGCCACUAAAACGUUAGAAGGAGGAAGAACCAGUCUCUAUCUCCUGAUGUGGGUAGGCCUGCCUUGCCUUAUCUUAUCUUAGGGAAACCAAGCCCUGGGUGAUGGGUGCCAAUGCCGGGGUGAGGGCACCCAUUCCCUGCCCGGGCCGGGGGCUGGAGCCAAAGGGCUGAGCUUUAUUUAAAACGAGGACUAAAUCUGCUGCUGGGCCCUGGAAUGUGUGUGCAGCCCACUGUCCCUCACCUGGCAUCACACCGGUGGUGCCUAAAGCUGUCCCCAUCCAUGCCCCGAGCUUGUCAGGGCCACCACACCUGGCCCAUGGGCCACUUGAUGAAUUAAUUGGAGGCUCUGAAGGUGGCUGUUGGGCUAAGGCACACUGUGCCUGCCUCCUUUGAGCCCACACACCAGGAGCACCUGAAUUUAAGCCUCCCCUGCCCAGUUAGAGGCGUUUGUCCAUCCUGAGAGCCAGGAGGAACACUAGAAACACAGCGAGUUGGGAAACUGCCUGGUUUUAGGAGGCCAUGCUUGGGUUUGACUCCCAGGUGGGAUGGGGGGUAUUUCUCUCUCGUGUGGUGUGGUGGGGGCUGGAGGAAGUUCCUGGGAUUCCCUACCUGGAUCAGGACAUGCUACCAGCUGCUAGCCAGGCAAAGCUCAGCCUGUGCCCACCUGGGAGGUCAGAUUUGAUGCCCAGCUCUGGUGGGAGGGUGCUGGGCCCUGCCUCAGCUCAAACGGUUUGAACUGAAUGUAAUAGAAAAUGAAAGGAGACAGGAAACCGCUGGGACCUAAUAAAGGUGAAAGGUUAGGAAUAUAUUGGGAGUAUGGAAGUGCUGAGCCCUUCUGGGCAGGGAAAGGAGCCUGCAGCACCUGGUCCGAAUUAAAAAUGAGGAUUAAGGAGUCUGUGAGCUUGUGUUGUCAUGGAUUUCAGGGCACCCAUCACUGCGAGAGUGGCAGGGACUGCAGGUGAUGGGAUGGGGUGACACUGUGGGUCCCUGCCCUGGAUACCUACCAGGAGAAGCUUAUCAAGACCCAUUUUUAUCAGCCUG